rnacentral:lncRNA from 1 species
GUCUCCAGAUGGCUGUGAUGUAAAGAACAUCCUGCGUGAAUUUCUUAGGAGUAAACAGUCCCUAUUGACUUCAAAGAGGAAUGCCUAUGAUUCUCGGAUUAUUGCAAUCAGAGCCCCCUCCUAAUGCCAACAUCAUCACCUUCCAUGGGGAAGACACACAGGAGUCCCCCUUCAGCUGCUGGGAGUUACAUAGGCAGGGCAUAGCAUUACAUAAACCCCCUUUUUGCACCAAUUUAUGGCAGAACUCAUGUAGAUGCAAACCACGGCACUCCAGUACAGCCCAGGCCAGCUUUCCCUGCAGAGCAUCCCUUUCCUCCUCCCAGCCAGAUUAUACUCCUGUUAUGUCGAACGUACGGUAUGCAAAGGGACAUCUACUACAAGUCCAAACUAUUACAAGAGAACAGACAGACUGAAGAAUGCAAAGCCGGGGGGGUGGGGAGGGGGGGGGGCGGGGCGGGAAGAGGGGAGCGGAGGGAGAAGUAUUAAAACCACCAACAGUCAGUCAAUACACAUGGAAACACUGCAUGCUGCCAAAGAACAUUUACCUGUAGGUAAAGCAUACAGUAGCGUCAGACUUCUAUUAAACAACAAAAAGAAGUUACCGUUUAUUGUCGUGGUUGUCAGUCCCUGUGGUCUGUCUGCGUUGUCUAAACCUGAAAAUAGACAGAAAAAAAAAGGGGAGGGGAGCAGAAAAAUAGCAAAGGAUCGUAAUUUAAACACUCUCAGUGUUUGGUUCUUGUUCGUGAAAAUAUAUAAGAGCAGGUAAACCUGUACGUGUUUGAAAGGUGCCGAGUAUAUUAACUUUUGACGUUAUUAAAUACAUCACUACAGCACUUGGCUCUAGGUUCAACGGGGAAAUAACUAGCUACAUUUGCUGCAGAUGAUCUAACGUGACACAAACCAGAUAUGAGUAAUAUACUCCGGUAUCUGCAGGGUUAAAUCGAUAUUUACAGGAAAUAAUGUGAAUAAUAUAAUUUUUUUUUUAAAUCGCACCAUUAUUUCUGGAGAACCAGGCUUGCAAAUAAAAGGUUAAGAAUAUUAUUAUUGUUUGGGGUUGCUGAGCAGAAGUGACGAAAACUAAGGAGGCAGAUGCAGGAUUUACAUAGUAUAAGCUGCCAGCUACUUAAUAAAGGAUGGAGGCUCCACCUAGCCUUCAGUUCAAAACAUGCAAAACACAUUAAGCCAGCGCUUCCCCGCCGGAUUUCCCAGCUUCUUCCAGACUGGGAUCACCGGGAAGUCAUCCUCUCUAUUCACAGCCCUGUCAGCUUGCCGAGAGCUGCGAGGGUAAAUACACACAGCGUAAGGUAAUCGCUUUUAUUGCAUCAUAUUGAUUACAUCAACCACUUCUUUAAAAACCCAUAUUAUUACUGUUGUUUCCCGGGGAGCACCGAGUUCAUCUGUGUUACAGCGAAGCGGUUUCACCCGUUUCCCAGCUCCGGGGUAGGCCGGAGUUGUGGAGGGUUGCUACUUUUUUGAGUGGAGGGAAGGAUGGAGGGAGGGAUGGAGGGAAGAAUGCAGCGGGCGCCCCUGGACGUGUCCCCCUCUCCAGCGACACCUAGGGCCGGGGUCGGGAGCCGUGCUGGGGUUUGGAUAACCCGGGAAGUCAUGGCUGCUAGCUCCAAUUGACCCCCUACGCGGGAGGCAGCGGAUGGACAGGCUGCAGCGAGCAAUCUGUGCAUCCCAGCCCGCUGCAAGACAUCCCUUCAUCUUCUUUCUCCCUCUUCCUUUUUUCCUUCUUUUUUCCUAUUUUUCCUCUUUCCCUCCUCCCCUUUUUAAUUUAUUUUAUUUUUUCCCCCUUUUUGCUUUUUCUUUCUUUUCCCUCUUUUUUUUUUUUUUUUGGUUUUUUUUUUUUUUUUUGUUUUUUUUGUUUUUAAGCUCUAAUAUGGAAGCCGCAGGACUUAGUUCCCACACUCCAGCCCUGCAAGCGUUUGCACCUCUGCCUGCAACACCUUUCUGAGCGCACCCAGCCACUGCCAAAAUAAAAAGGCUCCCUGAAAAGCCACAUCUCUGCUUUCGCCGGGCAAUUAUCACGGCUCCCGCACACCAACUACGCCCCACACGACCAACAGGUUUAGCAUCAGGGCCACAAAAGUGUCAAGUCCUAAACCCUGACUUGUUAAUCAAAUUCCUCUCGCCGGUGCACAGUGGAAGUCGUCGGAGCGUCCCGGGAAACCCGACCUGCCCGCGCUCAGCAUGCCUAGUUAUUUCAGGGAAUUCAGGAUCUAUCCCACACCCCACACACAGACAUCGCGGUACUUACAUUUAUUCGUCUUUAUCAGAGGAAAAAUUGACCUCACAUCAAUUGAGCUGAGGGCGAGCUGAGCCUUCGAUGGCAAACAAAGAUCCCCAGGCCAAGGCCCCCUCGGAGCAGAGAAAGCUCUUCCAUGUCUCCAUGAAACUCGCGUCUUUCCCCUCGCCAUCCCUAUUUAAAAGUGCCGCUUAGCUCCACGGUGUCAUUCUUGUCCGAACGGCGCUGAGUCGGAAAUCUUCCAUCCAGAAACAAACAAAACAAAACAGGGAGAGAAACGCAGAAGCUGACUUCGGUUUGGCUUUUUUUCUUCCUUUCUUUUUUCCCCUCUUUUCCUCCUUUUCUUUCCAUAUGGCUUCCUGCGCCCCGGAGUAGAAAGUGAAGUGUUCUAUGCGAGGAUCUGCAAGUUUUUUGGGGGGGUUGGCCAAGGUCUAGUCCAGCCCUCCCUGCUGAGGAGGACGUGCUCAGAAAUUCAACCAAUUUCCCCAACGCUUUUGUUGCUGAUGGACUGAAGCCCUAUUGUUCAUCCAUUGCCACGGUCUUUUUCAGCUCCUGCUAUACGUUGUGCGUUGCCAGAGAUAAUGAAUUUGCACCAAAACCUCUCAUAGUCCCAUUCUGACAGACGGAACAAAUUAGAAAUGUCUAGUCUAAAGAAGAGCAAUGGCUACCUUUUCCUAGAGAAGAAAAGAAGGAAAGCGCGCAUUUGUUUGGAAACUUACUAUUUUUCUUUCUUUUUUUUUUUUUUUCCCCAGCAAAAGAUCGAGAUUUAUAAGCUGUUUUUCCUCCAGCUAACUUCUGCAGUACAGUUUCUUCCGAGUCUUGUUUUGGAGAGGCACUACCAUUUUGUGAAACUUUGGUCUGACAGCCAACAGCAGGGAGGGAAAAUAGAAGGAAAGGAAAAAAAAGAAAAAAAAAAAAGGAAAAAUUGAUGGCGCUGACAAAAAAGAUUCUUUUCCAAUCCCUGCCGUCAUGCUAACUUGUAGCAUGACCUCUCGUCGCUGGAAGGAAGGUGCCGAUUCCUGCCGGGUUCGGAAACAUCGUGAAAACGCCCCUCAAAGCCUCGGUGGGUUUUAGGGAGCGGGGGGGGGGGAGGGGGGAGAAGGGGAACGAGGUAGGGAGGUGCUGGGAGAAGUUUGAGUGUGCGCCGGAGCAGGAGGUGUGCGGGGAGGGGGGCAUGGAGGGAUGGAGAGGUGGAGGAAGGGUGGAGGGAGGGAGAGAUGAAGAGGUGGAGAAAUGGAGAAAGGAUGGAGAGAUGGAUA